GUGUAGUGAUGCCAAACUGAGGUCUUGAAACACUUCGGUCAUUAUAGAUCCCAAGGUAUUUCUCGACAAGAUUUUGGAGUGUCCUAACCAAGUUUGCCUAUUGGCCUAGUCAGGUAUGGCGAUAUGGGCCUACUUGUAUUGACUGCAUCAGUUCUUCAAUGAUAUCUGUUCAUCCAGGUAGAAGAGAUUCUCACCGUAAAGUGUUUCGAGUGUGACAAAAGCGCUAUAUGAAUGUCUCAUUCUUCAGUUUGCCUGAUACACACUCCAAGCGACAUAAAUACACUUACAAAGAGUCAAAAUCAUUUGCAGUGAGAUAGAACAACCACCGCGAAUGCAGGCAAGUGAUGCACCGCUUCUCACUGUAUCCUAAUAUUAGAAAGUUCAGCAGCAUUCAGCAAGCCUACAGUGUUAGUUUGCACUAAGAGUGAAUCAUCCUCACCCUGAAGUGACACUAUGUGAUGACUAACUUGCCUGAGCUUAGUGAUUCAUGAAACAAGCAUCCCAUUCCUCUCUCUUUCCUCCCACCUCUUAUUCCUUUUCUUCAUCGUUUUAAUUCAGCCAUUUCCGCCCCUCUUUCUGUGACAUUCGGGCAACCUGGCAGACAGAAAGGGAACAUUGUACAUGUAAUUACAGACUCUGAAUAAGAGUAAUGUGUUAUUUUUUAUUACUAGAAGGAGGUUUUCUAUUUCCUGCAAAGCGCAGUGGGAUGCUGAGCUAAAUUAGUGAAAUUGUUUCUCUGUUGGUUAGAUGUCAAGGUUUCUGACCCCAAGCUAAUGUUUAAUUUACAUAUUCUUUUCAGAUAAAUUAGGCAGCAAGCUCUGAAUUAGCAGCUAUUGUGUCUUACCGUUUUAGAGAUUACUAUCCUGGUGUUUCUGCUUACCUGCAGCCCUGCCACUGAUCCAGCCGAGCUCGCCAAAGUCAAAUCUGGCUGUGAGAUACAACACGACGUCUGUAAUUGACCAGAGUGGAAGCCAUUUCCAGUAACAACUGUGGUGAUCUGAAAAUAGAGCUGUGGAUUGCUAAGACAGACUGUCACUGAAAACAAUGAACAUCUGAUUCCUCAUCGAUCGAGAAGAUUCUUGUUCUCAGGAUUUUUAAAGAAGGUGAUUCUCUGAAUUAUCAGCGUAGACUCAACAGCACAAUGGCACGUUCAGACACAUACAAAACAGCUCAGAUGCUGUGAGUGGGGAUUUACUUGGAAAAAGGACGCAACGAUGGAGAGAGAAAGAAAAUAAGCUUCUCAUCUGACUGUCAAAAUGUGCUUAAAAAGUUCAAAGGAGGUCCAAGGAUCUCAAGUGAAGAGCGACAGCGUUGUUAUGAGGGAAAUGUGCUCCAGUUCAAAUGCAUUAUUGAACACUGGCCUUUGCUUUCGCUCGCUAUUUUUGGUUUCCAAUAAAG